rnacentral:rRNA from 1 species
AGAACGAACGCUGGCGGCAGGCCUCAAACAUGCAAGUCUAGGGGGUGUAGCAAUACAUCACCGGCGGACGGGUGCGUAACACGUGGGAAUAUACCUUUUGGUUCGGAACAACGCAGGGAAACUUGCGCUAAUACCGAAUGUGUCCUUACGGAGAAAGAUUUAUCGCCAAAGGAUUAGCCCGCGUCCGAUUAGCUAGUUGGUGAGGUAAUGGCUCACCAAGGCUCCGAUCGGUAGCUGUUCUGAGAGGAAGAUCAGCCACACUGGGACUGAGACACGGCCCAGACUCCUACGGGAGGCAGCAGUUGGGAAUCUUGGACAUGGGGGAAACCCUGAUCCAGCCAUGCCGCGUGAGUGAUGAAGGCCUUCGGGUUGUAAAACUCUUUCGACGGGACGAUAAUGACGGUACCCGUAGAAGAAGCUCCGGCUAACUUCGUGCCAGCAGCCGC